GAUGAACGCUGGCGGCGUGCCUAAUACAUGCAAGUCGAGCGAACGGACGAGAAGCUUGCUUCUCUGAUGUUAGCGGCGGACGGGUGAGUAACACGUGGAUAACCUACCUAUAAGACUGGGAUAACUUCGGGAAACCGGAGCUAAUACCGGAUAAUAUUUUGAACCGCAUGGUUCAAAAGUGAAAGACGGUCUUGCUGUCACUUAUAGAUGGAUCCGCGCUGCAUUAGCUAGUUGGUAAGGUAACGGCUUACCAAGGCAACGAUGCAUAGCCGACCUGAGAGGGUGAUCGGCCACACUGGAACUGAGACACGGUCCAGACUCCUACGGGAGGCAGCAGUAGGGAAUCUUCCGCAAUGGGCGAAAGCCUGACGGAGCAACGCCGCGUGAGUGAUGGAGGUCUUCGGAUCGUAAAACUCUGUUAUUAGGGAAGAACAUAUGUGUAAGUAACUGUGCACAUCUUGACGGUACCUAAUCAGAAAGCCACGGCUAACUACGUGCCAGCAGCCGCGGUAAUACGUAGGUGGCAAGCGUUAUCCGGAAUUAUUGGGCGUAAAGCGCGCGUAGGCGGUUUUUUAAGUCUGAUGUGAAAGCCCACGGCUCAACCGUGGAGGGUCAUUGGAAACUGGAAAACUUGAGUGCAGAAGAGGAAAGUGGAAUUCCAUGUGUAGCGGUGAAAUGCGCAGAGAUAUGGAGGAACACCAGUGGCGAAGGCGACUUUCUGGUCUGUAACUGACGCUGAUGUGCGAAAGCGUGGGGAUCAAACAGAAUUAGAUACCCUGGUAGUCCACGCCGUAAACGAUGAGUGCUAAGUGUUAGGGGGUUUCCGCCCCUUAGUGCUGCAGCUAACGCAUUAAGCACUCCGCCUGGGGAGUACGACCGCAAGGUUGAAACUCAAAGGAAUUGACGGGGACCCGCACAAGCGGUGGAGCAUGUGGUUUAAUUCGAAGCAACGCGAAGAACCUUACCAAAUCUUGACAUCCUUUGACAACUCUAGAGAUAGAGCCUUCCCCUUCGGGGGACAAAGUGACAGGUGGUGCAUGGUUGUCGUCAGCUCGUGUCGUGAGAUGUUGGGUUAAGUCCCGCAACGAGCGCAACCCUUAAGCUUAGUUGCCAUCAUUAAGUUGGGCACUCUAAGUUGACUGCCGGUGACAAACCGGAGGAAGGUGGGGAUGACGUCAAAUCAUCAUGCCCCUUAUGAUUUGGGCUACACACGUGCUACAAUGGACAAUACAAAGGGCAGCGAAACCGCGAGGUCAAGCAAAUCCCAUAAAGUUGUUCUCAGUUCGGAUUGUAGUCUGCAACUCGACUACAUGAAGCUGGAAUCGCUAGUAAUCGUAGAUCAGCAUGCUACGGUGAAUACGUUCCCGGGUCU
rnacentral:rRNA from 1 species